AUUGAACGCUGGCGGCAGGCUUAACACAUGCAAGUCGAGCGGAGAUGAGGUGCUUGCACCUUAUCUUAGCGGCGGACGGGUGAGUAAUGCUUAGGAAUCUGCCUAUUAGUGGGGGACAACAUUCCGAAAGGAAUGCUAAUACCGCAUACGCCCUACGGGGGAAAGCAGGGGAUCUUCGGACCUUGCGCUAAUAGAUGAGCCUAAGUCGGAUUAGCUAGUUGGUGGGGUAAAGGCCUACCAAGGCGACGAUCUGUAGCGGGUCUGAGAGGAUGAUCCGCCACACUGGGACGGAGACACGGCCCAGACUCCUACGGGAGGCAGCAGUGGGGAAUAUUGGACAAUGGGCGGAAGCCUGAUCCAGCCAUGCCGCGUGUGUGAAGAAGGCCUUUUGGUUGUAAAGCACUUUAAGCGAGGAGGAGGCUACCUGGAUUAAUACUCUAGGAUAGUGGACGUUACUCACAGAAUAAGCACCGGCUAACUCUGUGCCAGCCGCCGCGGUAAGAC
rnacentral:rRNA from 1 species